rnacentral:rRNA from 1 species
UACGUAGGGUGCAAGCGUUGUCCGGAAUUAUUGGGCGUAAAGAGCUCGUAGGCGGUUUGUUGCGUCGGCUGUGAAAUCCCGAGGCUCAACCUCGGGUCUGCAGUCGAUACGAGCAAACUAGAGUGUUGCAGGGGAGACUGGAAUUCCUGGUGUAGCGGUGAAAUGCGCAGAUAUCAGGAGGAACACCUGAGGUGAAGACGGGUUGCUGGGCCGACACUGACGCUGAUGCGCGAAAGCCAGGGGAGCAAACGGG